AGCUAAGAAAGAAACGCGUUCAACUAGUUUCGUAUAUUUUACUGCUCAUCAGGAAUUACGCCCCUCACAUCUCAACAGUCGAAGUCAGUAUGGAAAACCAGGCGAAAUAUUGGAGGAAACUUCAGGAAUAUCUUCUACUGAUAUAAAACAUAUCGAAGAACACAUAUCAUUCUGCUAUCUUUCGCUUAGGAUUUCUCGUUGCCGAAAUCGGAACUUUUUCGAUCAACAAUUUUAUCAAACCAUUCGGUCUUGUCGCAGUCAAACUAACCUGAUUGGCA